ensembl:snRNA U6 U6 spliceosomal RNA
GUACUUGCUUUGGCAGAAUGUAUAUUAAAAUUGGAACAAUACAGAAAUUAACAUAACCCUGUGUAAGGAUGACAUGCAAAUUAACAAAACAUUCUAUAUUAUU